GAGUUAUCGCCUCCUCUGGAGCCUCCACAUUAGGGAGGUGAUUCCAGUUCCUUCCAUUACCUUAUUUCAUCUUAUAUCCUGGACUGCCUGGUACUCUAAACAUCUUUUAUUAGGUACUCUGCUGGAAGUGUUUCUUUUCCAUCUAUAAAUCCACCUUCAGUAUCCUCGGCCCAACAUCUUGUAUUAUUACAUUUGGCGUGUCACACCAGCUAUCAGUCUUUAGUUUACUACCAUCAUAUAUGGGUUCUAGCACACUCAUUAACAUAAGGGAGUGGCAACCUGUGAUCCCUGUGGCACUAUAUCUUUAAUUUGAUGCUGGGCUAUUUCAUAUCUACCCAAUUACUAUUGGAGUACUUACCUUGGACAAGGGACAUAUUCUCCAUCUUCUCAUAAUACAAUUAAGGAUCCACAUUUUUUCCAUUGUGGCCAGUGUGGGAUGAUUUAUCUACUUCUCAUACAUCUAUAUAUCAUUACUCAGUAUCAAUGUGCGGCUAUUAUAUUUUUGUAUCACGUUUGCUUCACUUGUUUGUUUAUCACUUUGAUUAUUAUUUGUGAUAUGUUGACUGCUCCCCUGAGCCCUGAUGAACCCCUAACUAUAAGUGAGGGUGAAACGCGUAGGUCAUUAGGAGUAAGAAUAUACACACAUUAAGUCAUUGUCUUGUUCAUUUUUCAUGUUUAUGUGACUUAUAUUAUCCCUACUCCCUGUCCACACUUAUUGUAGUGAGGGCAAGGGGUUAGACUAGGUAGGGUCGGCUAGGUCAGGUUUUUCACCUGUACCCCAAACCCCCUCCCUUGGUCUGUUGCUCAUUAUUCAGUGCUAUAUCUGAUACCUUCCUGAGCACUGUAUUGUGAGGCAUGGUGUUUUCUAUUAUCUUUAUUAAUAAAAUUAUGCAUUUUUU